rnacentral:lncRNA from 1 species
UGUAAAUGAAUAUAUGAGUUAUGGAAAAUUAAAACGAUUUUCUUGGGGUAGUUUACAGAACGUAACACAUCCAUCGCACUGCUAUUUAUAAACACGGAGAGAAAAGUGACUGUCUCUGUUCAGACAGCCAGCUGACGAUGUGGCUUACAAGACAUAAAGCACUUCCCUCAUAAUGUUUGCAUUUGUGGGGAUACUUCUUUUUCUUAUGCUUUGUCACACAUUGAUUUUGAAUGACUGAUCUCUUGCACGACAGCCUGCGUGGCUGUGAUACAGCUGGCAGGCAACCAUUCAUUAAUUUUUACAUAAAUAAGUUAAAGUAACAGUGAUUGAAACGGCAGCUAUAUUAAACAUGAUAUAAAUAACCUGACUUACGUAAAGAUGGUUAUAAUGAAAACUCAAAUUCACCUACAGGUUCUGUAACACCUCAUCCAUUAUCUUUUCUUGAAUUGGCAGAAGAGUAUUUUUUUCAUCCUUGAAGUCACCUGUUCAUUUCCUAAAACCAUAAAGAACAGGACAGCAUGUUACUGUAUAUACAUGCAGAUUUCCUGGAUAACACGAGAUCAAUUUCAACACUGAGUUUAUUUUUUUCCAUUUCAAGAAGCAGGUGGUAUCUCCACUAAGUGCUUGCAUGAAUUCAUGAAUUCACAGCUGAUGUAAAUCAGCAAAUCUUCAUUGUCUCCUAUCUAGGUGCAGUAUAACUUCAGGAAAUACCAGGCUCCUCAGAUGAAACCAUCAUACCCUUUUUAUGCAGAAAUUUCACACAAACUUAUCUUGAACAACUUGAAGUGUUUAGGGUUUUUGCACUACAAUGAUGGUAUAGCUACGUCAGAUAAAACAGAAAAAUGUAUUUUAUAUUCAUAUGUAUUACUUAAUACAAGUGCUAUUCCAACCACGCUGCUCAUCCCAGGAACUGAAGUAAUCCACAUCCUCAUGGGAGAAAUUGAAGUCUGGACCAACCCUAGUGCACCUCCCACUCCACAUCCUUGGAGCAAGACAUUCUUCCAUUUUUCUUCAAACUGUAAAUGCUGUAUGAAGCACCGUAACAGAAUAUAUUGCUCCUGCUUUGCUCCAUAACAUCUUAGUAUGUUUCCUGACCACUCCACAAAGAUAUUCCUUCUCUGUGACAACUCUGAGAAGUCAUUCUCUAUCACUGUUGUUUGGAAAUUACUACCUAAGGGAUCAGAAAAUUCAUUUCCAAUGGAUGGGACAGCCUAAAUCUUCAUAAAUUCUGUGAACUUUGCAACUCUGUUACAGACCCAGUUGAACGUCUGGAUGUCUCACAACUUGGACAAAUUCAACAAUACAGUCUUUAAUAAUUAUGGUGCUUGGAGAAAUCCCAAGGUCAUAUCAGUGACCUAUAGGACCCAGAAGCAGAGGAAAAACAUACCAUGGGCAAAAAACAAGCUUACAGGUGGGGGUGACCUUCACAGAAUCACUGAACGGCUUGCAUUGGAAGGGACUUCAAGGAUCAUCAUGUUCCAGCACCCCUGCUGCAGGCAAGGUUGCCAACCACUGGGUCAAGUACUAGAUCGGAUUGCCCAGGGCCCUGUCCAACCUGGCCUUGAACACCUCCAGGGAUGGGGCAUCCACAGCGCUGUGCACACACAGCUGUGUGCUGAAGCUCCUGCUGCUGCAGGUUGAUGGACGUGUCAGAAAUGGGGCAAUGACCCUUCAAGGAUAUUACAACAGCUAUCAGAUCUGGCUGAGGUUCUUGUGCUAUAGUUUAACUCAUGACCUAAAUACUUCCCUAUCAUCAAAUACAAGAGAUUUCAGUGGGUUGUGAGGAAAUUCUGCCAGUAAUUCCUCCAGAAAAGGAAGUAGCUGUUCAGGAUCUCAUGACCUACAUUGUGAACUCAACACAUUGCAUUACUGAAAGUACUUGUUUGUAGAGAUUGUUUUUCUAUUUACUAUUCUAAACAGAGGAAAUUCUUUGCUGUUUUCUGUCUUUGUAACAUUUUUUUUGGAAGAUUCAUUUAUUUUUUCUUUCUCAUUGUUUGUAUGUUCUGUCUGAGGCACAGAAAAAAAUUCAAAACAAUGUCUUUUCCUUUUUAAUAUGACAUACUAUUAUUCAAGAGACUCUCAUUUAUGUGCACUUGGGACUCUAGUGCUAAGCUACAGUGCUUUGAAAAUGGCCACAGAUGCAGAGUUCCUGAGUUUUAGGUGUCUCAUUUGACUCAGAUAUGUUGGAUUCUCAGAUGAUUAUACAGUGAUCAGUCAUGUCCUAGGCAUUUUGUUUGCUGAAACAUCCUGCAGUCAACUAUUUGAACUAAAAAGUCCUAACAUUUGAUAACAUUUGAGAGUAUACUUCUGUCUUUUCGAACUGCAAUUUGUCCAAAACCUGAGUAGUAGUAGUAGUAGUAUCAAGUAGUAAAUUUGCCAGUUAUUUUGUAGUUUUAUGGUAGUUCUGUGUUGUUUUUUCUGAUGAUAACUUAUGAUGUAAAACUAACAGGAGCCUUUCCAAGCAGCCACAAAUUCUUACUGGCUCUUCUAUUCCUACUUGCAUAUGGUAACACAAACACAACACUUCAUAGCAGCGUACACGAUAUGCAUAAAGUAUUAAAGUUUUCCUGAGGCUCCCAGCUCAUCUAUACAGAGGCAUGGAAGGGAUUUGGAUCCUUUGUCACAGGAAGAUACUGCAGGGUUCUGUAAAGCAAUUCCACUUGGAAUAUGGAUGUAAAUGUUCUCCCCAAAUUCUUUCACAAGUGAAGACUUUGGACUGAAAUUAGAUGAGCUAAUCCUUAGAACAUAUGCCAUGCCAAGUAGAAUAUAGCAUAUUAAAAUACUGGAAGCCCUUUAAGAUCUAUGACAUUUAACCCAGUUUAAUUUUUUGAAACCGGAUUCCUCGUUUAUGAAAUAAC